rnacentral:rRNA from 1 species
CCUGCGGAAGGGUCAUU